rnacentral:rRNA from 1 species
GAUGAACGCUAGCUACAGGCUUAACACAUGCAAGUCGAGGGGUAACGAGAGGAAAGCUUGCUUUCCUUGUCGACGACGGGCGCACGGGUGAGUAACGCGUAUCCAACCUGCCCCCAACUAGGGAAUAACCUUGCGAAAGUAAGACUAAUACCCUAUAAUUUCCUCAGAUGACAUCUGACGAGGAAUAAAGAUUUAUCGGUUGUGUAUGGGGAUGCGUCUGAUUAGCUUGUUGGCGGGGUACCGGCCCACCAAGGCAACGAUUAGUAGGGGUUCUGAGAGGAAGGUCCCCCACAUUGGAACUGAGACACGGUCCAAACUCCUACGGGAGGCAGCAGUGAGGAAUAUUGGUCAAUGGGCGAAAGCCUGAACCAGCCAAGUAGCGUGCAGGAUGACGGCCCUAUGGGUUGUAAACUGCUUUUAUACAGGAAUAAAGUUAGCCACGUGUGGUUAUUUGUAGGUACUGUAUGAAUAAGGACCGGCUAAUUCCGUGCCAGCCGCCGCGGUAA